rnacentral:rRNA from 1 species
GGGUUGUGAGGUUAAGCGACUAAGCGUACACGGUGGAUGCCCUGGCAGUCAGAGGCGAUGAAGGACGUGCUAAUCUGCGAAAAGCGCCGGCGAGGUGAUAUGAACCUUUGACCCGGCGAUGUCCGAAUGGGGAAACCCAGUGUGUUCCGACACACUAUCGUUAACUGAAUACAUAGGUUAACGAGGCGAACCGGGGGAACUGAAACAUCUAAGUACCCCGAGGAAAAGAAAUCAACCGAGAUUCCCCCAGUAGCGGCGAGCGAACGGGGAGCAGCCCAGAGUCUGAAUCAGCUUGUGUGUUAGUGGAAGCGUCUGGAAAGUCGCACGGUACAGGGUGACAGUCCCGUACACGAAAGCACACUUGCUGUGAACUCGAAGAGUAGGGCGGGACACGUGGUAUCCUGUCUGAAUAUGGGGGGACCAUCCUCCAAGGCUAAAUACUCCUGACUGACCGAUAGUGAACCAGUACCGUGAGGGAAAGGCGAAAAGAACCCCGGCGAGGGGAGUGAAAAAGAACCUGAAACCGUGUACGUACAAGCAGUGGGAGCACCUUCGUGGUGUGACUGCGUACCUUUUGUAUAAUGGGUCAGCGACUUAUAUUCUGUAGCAAGGUUAACCGUAUAGGGGAGCCGAAGGGAAACCGAGUCUUAACUGGGCGUUAAGUUGCAGGGUAUAGAC